GAAUCAUUGAAUCUUUGAACGCAUAUGCGCGCCCUUUGGUAGCUCCAAAGGGCAUGCCUGUCCGAGCGUCAUCGCCGAUUUUUCCCGGGCCCCCGGAUGGCCUGGGGCGGUUGGGUCGUCGUCCGGGGGGAGGUUCUCCCUGGAUGGGCCCCAAAGGCAAUGACGGUGCCGCGGUUCGGCCCUGGAGCGCAAUCGGAUUUUGGCUCUAGAGGGGCCGGAUCGGGCCACCUGUCUCCCCUGGCGUCUCGAGACGCCUCGUCCGUCCUGUUGACCUCGGAUCAGGCAGGGAUACCCGCUGAACUUAAGCAUAUCAAUAAGCGGAGGAA
rnacentral:rRNA from 1 species